rnacentral:rRNA from 1 species
CUGACGUUAGCGGCGGACGGGUGAGUAACACGUGGGUAACCUACCUAUAAGACUGGGAUAACUCCGGGAAACCGGGGCUAAUACCGGAUAAUACAUGAAACCGCAUGGUUUCAUGAUGAAAGACGGUUUUGCUGUCACUUAUAGAUGGACCCGCGGCGUAUUAGCUAGUUGGUAAGGUAACGGCUUACCAAGGCAACGAUACGUAGCCGACCUGAGAGGGUGAUCGGCCACACUGGAACUGAGACACGGUCCAGACUCCUACGGGAGGCAGCAAU